CGUCACCUUGGUGAGGGUCAUGGCAGCCCACUUCUUCUUUUGAGACGCUCUCAUCACAAGGUGUUUUGACACGAGGACUUGGAUUUGGUGGGAGAAGUUUAGGUAGCAAUUGGUGUAGCCUUUCAACGUGUCAUUUCAUAUGUCUAAGAUUGUCAUUAAUGCGAUCAAACGUGGCAUCGAGGUUAUUGGCAGCCAUGGUACCUAAAGGAAAAGACAACAACGAACAACAAUAACAAACAAACUUGUUAGCUCAAAUUUGCCUUACCACAAUCUCACUAUCGAGUUUACCUCACACUUGGUUUCACAAGUGUUGAAAGUCGGCUUGUACUUCGUGAGUGAUUGAGGGUCGAGUAUACUCUUGCCCGGAAUAGAUUUUAAUUUGAGUUAACUCAAAGAGAAUUUGUUUAUGGACUUGAACCAACAAGAUACACCGAAUUCACAAAAGAGAAAAGCACACAACAAACGUUUAACAUGAAUAAAUAAACACAAAGACUAACUAACAAUCUAGUAGAUGAGUACUAGUUUGCCAAUUAGUAUUGGAACCAACGGAAUUGAAACUAAGGAACAACAAAAUAAAACUAUAAAAUCUGAAAUUUGAGCCAAAAUUUUGAUGCGUGAACAGUAACUUGAUGGUGUGGCAGCCACGUAUUGGUUGCGUUUUUUCUAACGAGUUGUUAUUCUCAAAUGUUCAUGUCUUGGUUAAAAAUUAAUUUGGAUUGGUGGGAUUUUAUUUUAGGAGGGAAAAUAAGUCUUAGAGCCUUUUUCAAUUUUCAAGACUUGACUUUUUCUUGUACUUCUCCUUAAAACAUGGAUCUUUAAACCAUGGAAAAGUGUUGGAAAGUGGUUGAGAAGUGAUUGAUAGGUCUUUGGUAGUUGUAGUGUCUUUUAAGACUAGCAAAUAAUACACAUUUUAACUUUAACUUUUUGGAUUUAGCAUUCACUUUAUAUUCAACAAUAUAUAAAGGUGGUGAUGAACAUCAAGAAUAACACAAACACUAAGAACUACAACAAUAAUCUCUAAGAACACCAACAAUUUUUACACGGUCCACUCAAUUCCACAAUAAUAAUGUCUUCAACCUUCGGCCAAAACUACAACAGCUUCACAAAGAUGUUCUUAGGCCAUACUACUUAACAACAUCACAUAGCCAAGCUAAGAACAACAAUAAUGCUCACAAUAUACUUCUAACUCAUGAACCACAACAACACCAACAAUAAUCGGCCAAGCUUAUGUUCACAACAACAAGAUCGACAAUAUAAGCUCAAACUUAGAUUUAGACUCAAGAGUGUUAGGAUGAAAAAACUAACACUAGAAAUAACAAAACAAGUAAAAAUCUCGGCCAAAACAUAACAACACGGAUAAAUUUGCUUCUUUUUUAUUUUUCAGUUUUCUAAGACUUUUUUUCCUAACAAGCAAGCCCAAGAAAAAUCUUGUAGAAACAAGAUCAAGCCAUACUCUGAUACCAAAUGAUAUAAGAUAGAUUAAGAAGAACGAAACAAACACCAAAAUCAGUCCACAAGUUCAAAGAACCGAGGACCCUUUUGAUGACCACACUCGAAUUCACAAACAAGAACAACAAUAAACGAGAUAGGGGUGUGUUUUAACACCUAAACAACCACCCAAACUAGAUUUAACAACAAAAAUAUGAAGACAAGAUGAACAAUAAUAAUAUGGUAGAAAUAACACACGGGUUACAUUAACAAAAACAAGAAACAACGAUUACAACAAACAAAGGAUAGAUAGAUAGACUACAUGAAGAUGUAAUCUUAAGAACCCAAGAGCCUACUCCAUUCUUAGACCCUUAACACUACACACAACAAUUCACCUAUCUCUUAUAUUGGUACAAAAGGGAACUCGAUCUCCCAAGCAUCCAACGUUUCCAAGCUUGAAUCCAACACGAGUGAUUCCACACUCAAGUCGAAAAUCCUAGUUACAUUAUUUCGGCCAAGAGGCCUUUCUCACAAGAGAAAGUGUUUCAAUGUUACA
rnacentral:lncRNA from 1 species